CACACCCAUGACCAUAUCCAUAUCCAUUUCCUCACUCCAUCUCUGGCCCCGCUCCUCCACCUCGACCUUCAAAAGAUCAAUCCUCUCCUGCAUGCGCACAAUAACGACCUCAUUCUCCCGGAUGGCAUCCUCGCAGUCCUGAUCGUGGUUGUCUGGUGAGCUCUCCGCGAUGUACCGGGCCAACUCGUCGUUGGAGCGCUGGAGGUGGGCGAUGGAGUUGCGGAGCUCGGAAACUUUGGCGUAGACGGAAGAGAGGGGGAGGGAUUUUAAGGCUUCGGCGAAGGCUUGCGGGGUUAUUGGGGUGGACGAGGAGGACAUUAUAUAUAUUAUGUUUUUUUUUUGUUUUGUUUUGUUUGUGAUGAUGAUUGUAGCGGAGCAAGCAGUGAGGCGGGGUGGGUUCUAGCAAGGCUGUCGAGGGGUUAUUCAGGCUUGACUGUUGGUACGGCAAAGAUAGCGAAACAAGUGAUAUAAAAUCAAUUAGCACUGUAAUUGCUCAAUGGAUCCCAGUAUCCCAAAUGGCGAUGCAGCUGGAUU
rnacentral:sRNA from 1 species